CAGAGCCAACCACAGACUGCUGAAGUAGGGAUGACUGAAGCAGAGAUACACAUCAGUCCUGUUGUCAGAUACAUUAACUGAAGUCCUUAUUCCUAAUAAGAAGCAAUACCAAACUGAGAUGGAUGCCAAGCCAAAGGAGACUUAAGGACACGUGAAAGGAUGUAAGCAUCACUGCCAAGACCAGUAACCACUCCCUGCUCCAAGUGCCCAGGAGAAGUUCAACAGCAUCUCCUAGACCUAUGAUUUCCAUGAUCUAAAAGAACAAGUGCAGCAAAUUCACAGAAGUACCAUCUGAUCCAAGUCACAUACCAUUCUGACCAGAACAUAUAUUGUGAAUCUUUUAUUGUUGCUGGUGUCAAGACAUGGAAUUGUAUAUUCAACAGUGCUAUCAUCAUGCAGACUGCAAUACUUCAAGAAGGUUGGUUCAUCGCCAUCUUUUCAAUGGCAAAUACUAAUAGUUCCAGCCUUCCUGAUGAUGGCCAUAUCCCAGGAACCCAAGACAAGCAUAAACAUUUUGUUUUUAUUGCAGUUGAACUUCAUCAGUCUCUUUCAAUCCUCUUCUGUUUUUAAUGGUGUUUUGCUGUCUUGUACAUGUUGGAAUGCCAAUUGACCUUUUGGCAAUGACAACCCAUGACUGAUGAUGGCUCCCAGUGGUCAAUUCUCUC